rnacentral:lncRNA from 1 species
GGAAGCUGGUUAAAAACAAAGUAACAUCUGCGUGACAUGCUCUGUGUAACUGGACCUUGGUGGUGGGAGAGAACCGUACACGUUUCUCCCUGUGCACUAACCUGAAGUGCACUCUGGGAAAGGGAACAGUUUCACCAUUAUAAAGGCCCCCCCGCUGGCUCAGAACAGAGGAAACGACAAGCUACGGCUGCUGCUGAGGUCACGGCCAAAUUCCUCUUUUGCUGCUUUUCUGUUCCCAUCAGCAGGUGUUAUGGAUCCACAACACAUCCUGUGCUGGAGACUCGCCCCAUUGUUUCUCUUUAAGGCGGUUCAUCAUGUUUCUUUGAGCAUCAACAUGUCUCACUCGUCGCUGGUUUGCGGCGAGGCCUGGGGGACGGACCCCAGCUUCAGUUGGCUCUACGAGAGGGCUGCCAUCACUCGGGCCGUGGGGGAAAUCUCCAAAGAUGGGAGCACUUUGGUUUUGAACAUGGCUCCAAUUUGUGGAGACUUCACGUGUGUGGUCAGCAACAAGCUCGGCUACAGCUCUGCCUCCUACUCAGCAGGACCUUGUGAAAAGGAGGGUCGGGGGAUGAUGGCGGCCGUGGUGUGUCUCGUCUUCCUGCUGCUACUGUUUGGAGGAGCCGUGGCGUUUUUAUUGUGGAGGAGAUACCGGAACAAUCAUCGAGGAGAGAGGCUGCAGGAACAUUUGGAUGACACCAUUUAGAAGAGCCUCCGUGAUGUUUCCAUUAGGGCUACCAGAGAGAUGUGGCCUGAAAGCACUGUGACCUCACUCUGCCUGGAGAUAAUGUGAAGAGUGAGCUGCUUUCUUUCGUUCUCAUGAAUAUCCAAAUGUGGGUAUUUGGGUUAAAGUGCCAGGUGACGGGCUCACAGUGCCCCCUACUGGGAUGGACCUGAUAGUGUGGACUUUAAUGGAGCGUGAGAGCAUUUUUUCUAUAAGGCUUUAAAUCUGCUGCAUCACACAUGUUAGUCUUCAUACGGGCGCACACUGCAGUGCAUACUGAGUUUCAAAGAGCAGGAAAAUGACGUUGUAUAAAUGGACCAAUCACUGAGGCCCGUGGGUCUAUAUUUAUAGUGGACCCUAAGCAUCUCUAAGCAUUUCUAUCAGCACCAUUAAAAUGCACUUUAGUGUAAAUCAUAUUCACU